UUAGCCGAAAGGACCAGCGUGGCGUUCCUCACCCCACCGCCACCCCACCCCUGAGCGGGGAGGGCUGGCGGCCAUGUUUCCCAACAAAAUGGCGACACGUGUCGCCAUCGAAAAAUUGUGCCGGGUCUGAAAGCUCUAGAAUGUGCCUUUCAUCAGUCUCAGAAUUUCCCAUAGGAUGAAACAGCAAGAGAGCAAGACAAUCCCAGAGAGAUGAAGUGAAUGACCCAAGGUUACACAGGAUGGAACCUAUAUCUUCUGAUUUCUCUACUGACCUGCACUCCACAUUCUGAGGAGGAGUCCUUGAAGCUACUGAGAUAA
rnacentral:lncRNA from 1 species